rnacentral:ncRNA from 2 species
AAGAAACACUAGGGGUGUCUUGUAAAAGACUGAGAUUGAACGGCCGUUCUAAACCCUUUGAACCUGAUCUAGUUCACACUGGCGUAGGGAAGUGGUAAAUGGUUGAA